GGGUGGUUGCUACCAUGCAGUCGAGCGGUAGCACAGAGAGCUUGCUCUCGGGUGACGAGCGGCGGACGGGUGAGUAAUGUCUGGGAAACUGCCUGAUGGAGGGGGAUAACUACUGGAAACGGUAGCUAAUACCGCAUAACGUCGCAAGACCAAAGUGGGGGACCUUCGGGCCUCAUGCCAUCAGAUGUGCCCAGAUGGGAUUAGCUAGUAGGUGGGGUAACGGCUCACCUAGGCGACGAUCCCUAGCUGGUCUGAGAGGAUGACCAGCCACACUGGAACUGAGACACGGUCCAGACUCCUACGGGAGGCAGCAGUGGGGAAUAUUGCACAAUGGGCGCAAGCCUGAUGCAGCCAUGCCGCGUGUAUGAAGAAGGCCUUCGGGUUGUAAAGUACUUUCAGCGGGGAGGAAGGCGAUAAGGUUAAUAACCUUGUCGAUUGACGUUACCCGCAGAAGAAGCACCGGCUAACUCCGUGCCAGCAGCCGCGGUAAUACGGAGGGUGCAAGCGUUAAUCGGAAUUACUGGGCGUAAAGCGCACGCAGGCGGUCUGUCAAGUCGGAUGUGAAAUCCCCGGGCUCAACCUGGGAACUGCAUUCGAAACUGGCAGGCUAGAGUCUUGUAGAGGGGGGUAGAAUUCCAGGUGUAGCGGUGAAAUGCGUAGAGAUCUGGAGGAAUACCGGUGGCGAAGGCGGCCCCCUGGACAAAGACUGACGCUCAGGUGCGAAAGCGUGGGGAGCAAACAGGAUUAGAUACCCUGGUAGUCCACGCCGUAAACGAUGUCGAUUUGGAGGUUGUGCCCUUGAGGCGUGGCUUCCGGAGCUAACGCGUUAAAUCGACCGCCUGGGGAGUACGGCCGCAAGGUUAAAACUCAAAUGAAUUGACGGGGGCCCGCACAAGCGGUGGAGCAUGUGGUUUAAUUCGAUGCAACGCGAAGAACCUUACCUGGUCUUGACAUCCACAGAACUUACCAGAGAUGCCUUGGUGCCUUCGGGAACUGUGAGACAGUGCUGCAUGGCUGUCGUCAGCUCGUGUUGGUGAAAUGGUUUGGGUUAAGUCCCGCAACGAGCGCACCCUUAUCCUUUGUGCCAGCGGGUUCGCGGGACUCAAAGAGACUGCAGUGAUAAACCUUGGAGGAAAGGGGUGGGGGAUGACGUCAAGUCAUCAUGGGCCCUUACGAACCA
rnacentral:rRNA from 1 species